rnacentral:rRNA from 1 species
AGGACGAACGCUAGCGGCGUGCUUAACACAUGCAAGUCGAGCGGAAAGGCCCUUCGGGGUACUCGAGCGGCGAACGGGUGAGUAACACGUGAGCAACCUGCCCCUGGCUCUGGGAUAGCCUCCGGAAACGGGGAUUAAUACCGGACAUUCACUGUUUCCUGCAUGGGUGAUGGUGGAAAGUUUUUCGGCCGGGGAGGGGCUCGCGGCCUAUCAGCUUGUUGGCGGGGUAACGGCCCACCAAGGCGACGACGGGUAGCCGGCCUGAGAGGGCGAUCGGCCACACUGGGACUGAGACACGGCCCAGACUCCUACGGGAGGCAGCAGUGGGGAAUAUUGCACAAUGGGCGCAAGCCUGAUGCAGCGACGCCGCGUGGGGGAUGAAGGCCUUCGGGUUGUAAACCCCUUUCACCAGGAGCGAAUUCAGACGGUACCGUGGGGAAGAAGGCGCCGGCUAACUACGUGCCAGCAGCCGC